rnacentral:rRNA from 1 species
GAUGAACGCUAGCGGCAGGCUUAAUACAUGCAAGUCAAGGGGGUAGCAAUACAACCGGCGCACGGGUGAGUAACGCGUACACAACAUACCAUAUACUGGGGUAUAGCUUCGGGAAACUGGAGAUAAUCCCCCAUAACAUUGCGAGAGGGCAUCUGAUUGCAAUUAAAGUUUCGACGGUAUAUGAUUGGUGUGCGUUUGAUUAGCUUGUUGGUAGGGUAACGGCCUACCAAGGCGACGAUCAAUAGCUGGCGUGAGAGCGCGACCAGCCACACUGGAACUGAGACACGGUCCAGACUCCUACGGGAGGCAGCAGUAGGGAAUAUUGGACAAUGGGCGAAAGCCUGAUCCAGCCAUGCCGCGUGAUAGAUGAAGGCCCUCUGGGUUGUAAAUAUCUUUUAUCUGGGAAGAAACUCCUCUAUUCUUAGAGGCCUGACGGUACCAGAGGAAUAAGCACCGGCUAACUCCGUGCCAGCAGCCGCGGU